UCUUUUCAAUAGAGAAAUAACUUGCAGGAUGUUCAUCCAAAGGUUAAAAGUGGCUAUUUUGGAGUAGUGGGAAUUUUUGUGAUUUUCUGUCCAGCGCAAAGUUCAGAGAAGAGGAAAGAAAGGAAGGUACGCAGACAAGCCUGCCGGCAGUGGGGAAUUAACAAGGAUUCCUGUGAAAGGACAUGCCACGACCUAAGUCACGCUAUAGGAACACAGCAAUUUCAGGCAGCGUUUUAGAAAGGAAUACAUGGUUUCUAAGUAAGUGGUUAGGAAAUGAAGCAGUGGUUUCUGGGCAUGGGUGUGGGUUUUCUGAGACAAGCCCUCUGAGACUCAUUUCAUUCCCUUUUGCAUGACAGAUGCAAUUCAUCUUUUCUGCGCACAAAAUCGUCUCUCAAGCAUUUAACACUUCAAUUGACACAGAAUGAGAAAAAUGGAAUCAUUUUGAAAGCCCAAGAAAGAAAACUAUCCAGUAUUUGCUAAUUUGCAGCAUUCUCAGAGACUUUAUACACCAAUAAUGAGAAUCAACUGGGAUCUUAGACUUUAGAAGAAGAAGAAGAAAGAGCAACUGGUCCUCAAUGGAUUGGGUGAUGCCCACCCACAAAAGAGGAAGCAAUCUAUUGAUUCCACCAAUCCAAAUAUGAAUGUCAUCCAGAAACACUUCACAGACAUCCUUGGAAAUGUUUAGAGGCACCUGGGUGGCUCAGUCGGUUGAACAUCUGCCUUCAGCUCAGGUUAUGAUCCCAGGGUCCUGGGAUUGAGCCUAGCAUCAUGCUCCCUGGACACUGGUGGACGGAAAUGAAGAAGCCCAGGGGUCCCAGAAGCUGGCUGGGAUCCCUUGUGUAGAUCCUUAAAGACCAGCAUGUCUGAUGGCCCAAGUUUGGGUUUUGUCUUUCUGACACAAAGCAGAGAAGAACAUUGAUUCCAGGUCCUGAUCUCAGGGUUGCGAGAUCGAGCGCUGCAUCAGGCUCCCCCACCUCAGCAAGGAAUUUGCUCAAGAUUUUCUCUCUCCCUCUUCCAUCCCCUACCCUCUCCGUCUUUCUCUCAA